rnacentral:lncRNA from 1 species
UUUAUAGUGACCUUCGAGUGAGUUUGCUAGACUUCUUGGUGCCUUGGCAGUAGUUUUCGUGGCUUGUGUUGUUCCCUUUAGUCGCUUCUUUUCCUUUUCUUGCUUGGGACUGCCAUUCCUGUUAUCUUUUCUUCUUCUUUUUACUUGCCCACUUUAGUGUUACCUGGGUUUUCUUAGGUUGCUGUUGUGUUUGUUUUCUUUUUUUCGCUAUCUUUGCAGACAUCUUGAUUCAUUGCGAUUGUUCCCAAUUGUUG